AGAGUUUGAUCAUGGCUCAGAACGAACGCUGGCGGCGUGCCUAACACAUGCAAGUCGGACGGACUCAUUUUGAAGUAGCAAUACGGAGAGAUGAGUUAGUGGCGGACGGGUGAGUAACACGUAGGUAACCUACCCUUAAGCGGGGGACAACUCAGGGAAACUUGAGCUAAUACCGCAUAAGACCACGGGCUGAGAUGCCAGUGGGAAAAGGAGCAAUCCACUUAAGGAUGGGCCUGCGGCCUAUCAGGUAGUUGGUGAGGUAACGGCCCACCGAGCCAGAGACGGGUAGCCGGGCUGAGAGGUUGAACGGCCACACUGGAACUGAGAUACGGUCCAGACUCCUACGGGAGGCAGCAGUGGGGAAUAUUGCGCAAUGGGGGAAACCCUGACGCAGCGACGCCGCGUGGAGGAUGAAGGCCUUCGGGUUGUAAACUCCUUUUGUAGGGGAAGAUAAUGACGGUACCCUGCGAAUAAGCCACGGCUAACUCUGUGCCAGCAGCCGCGGUAAGACAGAGGUGGCGAGCGUUGUUCGGAAUUACUGGGCUUAAAGGGCGAGUAGGCGGUGGAGCAAGUCUGAGGUGGAAUCCUACGGCUUAACCGUAGAACUGCCUUGGAAACUGUUUUACUUGAGUCAGUGAGGGGAGGGCGGAAUUCCUGGUGUAGCGGUGAAAUGCGUAGAU
rnacentral:rRNA from 1 species